rnacentral:rRNA from 1 species
UAGGGAAUUUUCGGCAAUGGGGGAAACCCUGACCGAGCAACGCCGCGUGAAUGACGAAGUACUUCGGUAUGUAAAGUUCUUUUAUCAGGGAAGCGGUACUUGAUGAAUAAGCCCCGGCUAACUAUGUGCCAGCAGCCGCGGUAAUACAUAGGGGGCAAGCGUUAUCCGGAAUUAUUGGGCGUAAAGGGUGCGUAGGUGGUUAAUUAAGUCUUUGGUGUAAGUUCAGCGCUCAACGCUGUGAUGCUAAGGAAACUGAUUGACUUGAGUGUGGUAGAGGCAAGUGGAAUUCCAUGUGUAGCGGUAAAAUGCGUAAAUAUAUGGAGGAACACCGGUGGCGAAGGCGGCUUGCUGGGCCAUAACUGACACUGAGGCACGAAAGCGUGGGGAGCAAACAGGAUUAGAUACCCUUGUAGU